GAUGGAGUAGCAAUAUAAUCUGAUUGCAUUAUUGUGGCUGGCUUCAAACAAUUUUCAUGGCCAGUUCUCACCAAACAUUGCAACUGGAGGAAGACAUACAAACUGGUAUUGACUCGCAGGUGACACGCACCA